GAUGAACGCUGGCGGCGUGCCUAAUACAUGCAAGUCGAGCGAAUGGAUUGAGAGCUUGCUCUUAUGAAGUUAGCGGCGGACGGGUGAGUAACACGUGGGUAACCUGCCCAUAAGACUGGGAUAACUCCGGGAAACCGGGGCUAAUACCGGAUAACAUUUUGAACCGCAUGGUUCGAAGUUGAAAGGCGGCUUCGGCUGUCACUUAUGGAUGGACCCGCGUCGCAUUAGCUAGUUGGUGAGGUAACGGCUCACCAAGGCAACGAUGCGUAGCCGACAUGAGAGGGUGAUCGGCCACACUGGGACUGAGACACGGCCCAGACUCCUACGGGAGGCAGCAGUAGGGAAUCUUCCGCAAUGGACGAAAGUCUGACGGAGCAACGCCGCGUGAGUGAUGAAGGCUUUCGGGUCGUAAAACUCUGUUGUUAGGGAAGAACAAGUGCUAGUUGAAUAAGCUGGCACCUUGACGGUACCUAACCAGAAAGCCACGGCUAACUACGUGUCAGCAGCCGCGGUAA
rnacentral:rRNA from 1 species